GUUGCCUGCUAACAUUAAUUUCUUAACUGAAUAUGCAGGUUUAAAAAAAUAUUCUUCUGUGUAUUGAUUUUAAGGCAUUGAUGUUUAUGGUUAGGUACAUUCGUGCAACGAUUGUGCUUUUUUCACAAAUGCUCUUUUGUUAAAUCAUCCCCCGUUUGGCAAAGUUGGCUGUUUUUGUUAGGAAGAAAUAGUCUUGACACAGUUUGCAACGAGCCAGGCUUCCCAAACCGCUACAUAUACCCUAACUCUGUUGCACAGAAUGCAAGAGAAGUGACACAAUUUCCCUACUUAAAAGAAAUUCAUGUUAGUAGGCAAUAUUAACUAAAUAUGCAGGUUUAGAAAUAUAUACUUGUGUUUUGAUUUUAAGAAAGGUGUUGUUUAUGGUUCGGUACACAUUGGUGCAAUGACAGCGCUUUUGUCGCGAAUGUGCUUGUUAAAUCACCCGUUUGGCGAAGUAGGCUGUGAUUCAAUGAUAAAUUAACAGGCACCACAUCGAUUAAAUGCAACGCAGGACAAGCUAGAUAAACUAGCAAUAUCAUCAACCAUGUGUGGUUAACUAGUGAUUAUGUUAAGAGUUUUUUAAAAUAAGAUAAGUUUAAUGAUAGCUAGCACCUUACCGUGGCGCCUUGCUGCACUCGCAUAACAGGUAGUCAGCCUGCUCCUGGUGGAGUGCAAUGUAAUCGGCCAUAAUCGGUGCCCAAAAAUACAGAUUACCGAUUGUUAUGAAAAAUUAGGGUCGAUUUCAAGUUCAGCCAUUCCGAUUAAUCGGUCAACCCCUAAAAGAAACAGUGAACUUCAGAGCCAACAGGCGAAAAGGGAAAAAUGAUUGCGCCCGGGCCAAGACAAGAGUCGAGACUGAACCUCCUAUUUGCGUUCAAAGUGGAGAGAGCUUGCUAGCGAAGGGAUUCAAAACUGACCUGCUGAAAAGGUAAGACGUACCUUAGCUAAUGUAGCUAUCUUGCUAGCUAGAUAUAAAGUGAUGUGUUGCAUUUUAGUUGUAAAUAUGGAAGUGGGUGUUAUAGCUACUAUGGAUUACUUGUUUGGGUUGUUGUUAGCUAGCUGACUGCAACAGGCAUUGGUUUGUUUCAUUUUAAUUUAGACUAUUGCUUCGCUAUUUAGUUGUAGCUAGCUAUACGGUUGAAGUCGGGAGUUUACAUACACCUUAGCCAAAUACAUUUAAACUCAGUUUUUCACAAUUCCUGACAUUUAAUCCUAAUAAAAAAUCCCUUUCUUUGGUCAGUUAGGAUAGUUCACAUUCUUAAAAUAAAGUGGUUGUCAGAAUAAUAGAAAGUGAUUUAUUUCAGCUUUUAUGUCAUCACAUUCCCAGUGGGUCAGAAGUUGACAUGCACUCAAUUAGUAUUUGUUAGCAUUGCCUUUAAAUUGUUUAACUUGGGUUAAAUGUUUCGGGUAGCCUUCCACAAGCUUCCCACAAUAAGUUGGGUGAAUUUUGGCCCAUUCCUCCUGACAGAGCUGGUGUAACUGAGUCAGGUUUGUAGGCCUCCUUGAUCGCACACGCUUUUUCAUUUCUCCCCACACAUUUUCUAUAGGAUUGAGAUCAGGGCUUUGUGAUGGCCACUCCAAUACCUUGACAUUGUUGUCCUUAAGCCAUUUUGCCACAACUUUGGAAGUAUGCUUGGGGUCAAUGUCCAUUUGAAAGACCUAUUUGCGACCAAGCUUUAACUUCCUGACUGAUGUCUUGAGAGGUUGCUUCAAUAUAUCCACAUAAUUUUCCAGCCUCAUGAUGCCAUCUAUUUUAUGAAGUGCACCAGUCCCUCCUGCAGCAAAGCACCCCCACAACAUGACGCUGCCACCCCAAUGCUUCACGGUUUGGAUAGUCUUCGGCUUGCAAGCCUCCCUUCUUCCUCCAAAUAUAACGAUGGUCAUUAUGACCAAACAGUUCUAUUUUUGUUUCAUCAUUUUCUCCAAAAAGUACGAUCUUUUACCCCAUGUGCAGUUGCAAUCCGUAGUCUAGCGUUUUCAUUGCGGUUUUGGAGCUGUGACUUCUUCCUUGCUGAGCAGCCUUUCAGGUUAUGUCGAUAUAGGACUCGUUUUACUGUGGAUAUAGAUACUUUUGUACCUGUUUCCUCCAGCAUCUUCACAAGGUCCUUUGCUGUUGUUCUGGGAUUGAUUUGCACUUUUCGCACCAAAGUACGUUCAACUCUAGGAGACAGAACGCGUCUCCUUCCUGAGCGGUUUGACGGCUGCGUGGUCACAUGGUGUUAAUACUUGCGUUGUACAGAUGAACGUGGUACCUUCAGGCGUUUGGAAAUUGCUCCCAAGGAUGAAUCAGACUUGUGGAGGUCUACAAUUUAUUGGCUGAUUUUCCCAUGAUGUCAAGCAAAGAGGCACAGAGUUUGAAGGUAGGCUUGAAAUACAUCCACAGGUACACCUCCAAUUUACUCAAAUGAUGUCAAUUAGUCUAUCAGAAGCUUCUAAAGCCUUGACACAAUUUUCUGGAAUUUUCCAAACUGUUUAAAGGCACAGUCAACUUAGUGUAUGUAAACUUCUGACCCACUGGAAUUGUGAUACAGUGAAAUAAUCUGUCUGUAAACAAUUGUUGGGAAAAUGACUUGUCAUGCACAAAGUAGAUGUCCUAAACGAUUACCAAAACUAUAGUUUGUUAACAAGAAAUUUGUGGAUUGUUUGAAAAACGAGUUUUAAUGACUCCAACCUAAGUGUAUGUGAACUUCAAACUUCAACUGUAUGUAUCCUUGACCUUGUGUUAUAUUUCUGUCUGUGAUCUUAACAGUGCAUCUGAUUGGCUUACCAGCUACUUCACAAUAGUGGCACGGAAUAGCCAUGAUCAUCAUUUGACGACAAAGCUCUAAUUAGAAAACAUAUUUCAACAAAAAUGUUGCCGCCUUUUCAGUUAUAACAGGGAGCAAUCGACAUCAACACCUACCAAGUGUAGUGUGUUUCUAGCCCCACCAUUGUCAGGUAUUGAAUCAGAUCGGGAAGCGGGCUUUAGCAAAGUGUUUUUGGCCAUGUCUGUUCCAACUUUGUAUUUCCCCUAGCUGGCCAAGAACAAUAAUAUUUCUACUAAAAAUGAAGUAGACAUCUGCAAAUGCUAGGCAUCUAUGUGGCUAAGAUGUUUAGGAUAAUUAAUUACCCAGGAUUUUCUUUGAGUAAUGAUGGCAUACUAUCUCAAUAGAUGAGCUUAGUGCACAGAGAUAUGACCAUGUUAUUCCUCAUUUGAGCUAUCUGGCUGAGAUGUAGCCAGUCCUAGCCCGAAAGCUACACAUGUAUAGGACUGUGACAUUUAUAUUAAAUGACUGGAAACAUGAAUUAUGUUAUGCCUAGUAGCCUCCUCCAAUUAUCAUUAAUCCUAAACUGGAUGUAUUUACCCAGGAAAUAUAAGAUUGCUUAUCAUCAAAGGCAGUUCUGUCCCAGUUGUCAAAUGGUAAAAUUGAAUUUCAGAUUGGGAUUGAUGGAGCAUGUUAAAUUAAAUAAAAACUAUUAUCUCUAGGUCAGGGAUGGGUAACUCCAGUCCUUGAGGGCUUGAUUGGUGACACACAUUUGCCCCAGCUGACAGCUGACUUCAAUAAUCAACUAAUCAUAGUCUUCAGGUUAGAAUGCAAUUAGUUUAAUUAAUCAGGUGUGAUUUUCUUUUUUUUUAAUAAAGGGCUGGGGGAAAGUGUGGCACCAAUUAGCCCCCGGGGACUGGAGUUGCCCAUCUCUGAUCUAGGUCUACAUCUGAGCUGGAGUCAUUCUAGAACCACAUACUCAUUUACAUGGUUUACUUUCCCUCCUCUGGUAGAACUUGUAACCAUCGUCCAGCCUCAUGGAAUGCGGAGGGCAACUAAUCUACAGGAGACUCUACAAUAACAAGUCUCGAAGGUGAAGUGUCUAAGCAUUGACAACUUCAGAGGUCUACUAAACCUACAUCCCAGAACUUUAGAGAGCAGUGUUAAGACUGGGCUCUCAAUUGGUGCUACCAAGAAGAAUGACCCUGAGAUCAAAUGAACCAAGACUCCAUGAUGUGCCUCGACCAACAACGGCUGAGCUGCUACAACUUCAAGGAGAUAUCACCACGCAACACAGGAUGCAGUUAGCACACCUUUUGAAUGGGGAAGGAGCUUUCCCUCAUGUCAGACUUAGUGGUUCCUGGGAAUGUGUGAAAACAUUUCAGUACUCUGUAGGUUGUUGAAAGAGGGUGGCCUACAACCAAACAUGAAUCAUAUGUAAAUAAGGGAAGUUUGUGUGGGCAACAAACUUGUGUAUGAAACAAUAUUUGUGUAUUCUUUAUCUAGCAUAUAGGCAUCAUUAUUGUGGUUUUAGAAUUAUUUACUAAACUGGUUUCCUUUAUCUAUGCUCUGGAUGGUUUUCUCUUCAAAUUAGCAUACUUACACUAGGGCACUUAUCUAGAAAGAUGGACUACGCUGGUGUAAAUACAGUACAAAACAAGUCAGAUCACACAAAUCAUGUCAAAUAAACAUUUAUUAGGGAGAUAAAACAACCUAUUCUCUAACCUCCAAAAUAACAAAAGCGCAGUGUAAGAAAACAUACUUUUAAAAUAUAUAUUUGAAAUGCAAAACAUACAAACCUCAGCGAUAUCACCCUGCCCAGACCCACCUGCUCACAUCUCCAGUGCCUGCAUCACCCUCUGCCACAUGACCUCAAACGGCACCAUUUUGUUUCUCUCUGAUGUAAAACAUUCAGAUAAAGUACUGAACUGCUAUCACCCAGACCUAGGGGAAAAAAUCAAUACUCUAAGAAUAUUUUGAAGAUAAAUACACAAUGUAGAGACAGAAGACGAGCUGGGUUAUAACCUACAUCCUGUCCCUUUGUUCACUGGGGAGAACCACAGGAGAGGAUUGCUGAGGGAGCAUCACUGAGAACCAGGAGAAUGGACAUCUACCAUCUACCCCCAAGAUUUGUCCUAUUUGAAUAAACCUAUUUUCCUCCCCCUGA